rnacentral:rRNA from 1 species
GAUGAACGCUGACAGAAUGCUUAACACAUGCAAGUCUUUGGCGAAGCUGUGCUCGCACAGCCUAGCCAAGGCGGACGGGUGAGUAACGCGUAAGGAACUUGCCCUGCAGUCAGGGAUAACAGACGGAAACGGCUGAUAAGACCUGGUAAAGUCAGGCGGACUCAUGUCCAGCCUGAUGAAAAGAGAUGCUGCAGGAGAGCCUUGCGUCCUAUUAGCUUGUUGGUGGGGUAACGGCCCACCAAGGCGAUGAUAGGUAGCCGGCCUGAGAGGGUGGACGGCCACAAGGGGACUGAGAUACGGCCCUUACUCCUACGGGAGGCAGCAGUGGGGAAUAUUGGACAAUGGGGGCAACCCUGAUCCAGCAAUUCUGUGUGCACGAUGAAGGUUUUCGGAUUGUAAAGUGCUUUCAGCAGGGAAGAAAAAAAUGACGGUACCUGCAGAAGAAGCGACGGCUAAAUACGU